rnacentral:rRNA from 1 species
GACGAACGCUGGCGGCGUGCUUAACACAUGCAAGUCGAACGGAAAGGCCCUGCUCUUGUGGGGUGCUCGAGUGGCGAACGGGUGAGUAACACGUGAGUAACCUGCCCUUGACUUUGGGAUAACUUCAGGAAACUGGGGCUCAUACCGGAUAGGAGCUCCUGCUCCAUGGUGGGGGUUGGAAAGUUUCGGCGGUUGGGGAUGGACUCGCGGCUUAUCAGCUUGUUGGUGGGGUAGUGGCUUACCAAGGCUUUGACGGGUAGCCGGCCUGAGAGGGUGACGGGCCACAUUGGGACUGAGAUACGGCCCAGACUCCUACGGGAGGCAGCAGUGGGGAAUAUUGCACAAUGGGCGGAAGCCUGAUGCAGCAACGCCGCGUGCGGGAUGACGGCCUUCGGGUUGUAAACCGCUUUCGCCUGUGACGAAGCGUGAGUGACGGUAAUGGGUAAAGAAGCACCGGCUAACUACGU